rnacentral:rRNA from 1 species
GUGGGGAAUAUUGGACAAUGGGCGCAAGCCUGAUCCAGCCAUGCCGCGUGAGUGAUGAAGGCCCUAGGGUUGUAAAGCUCUUUCACCGAUGAAGAUAAUGACGGUAGUCGGAGAAGAAGCCCCGGCUAACUUCGUGCCAGCAGCCGCGGUAAUACGAAGGGGGCUAGCGUUGUUCGGAAUUACUGGGCGUAAAGCGCACGUAGGCGGACUAUUAAGUCAGGGGUGAAAUCCCGGGGCUGAACCCCGGAACUGCCUUUGAUACUGGUCGUAUCGAGUAUGGUAGAGGUGAGUGGAAGUCCGAGUGUAGAGGUGAAAUUCGUAGAUAUUCGGAGGAACACCAGUGGCGAAGGCGGCUCACUGGACCAUUACUGACGCUGAGGUGCGAAAGCGUGGGGAGCAAACAGGAUUAGAUACCCCGGUAGUCC